rnacentral:rRNA from 1 species
GACGAACGCUGGCGGCGUGCUUCAUACAUGCAAGUCGAACGAGAAGCUGACUUCGGUCAGUGGAAAGUGGCGGACGGGUGAGUAAUAUGUAGGAAAUCUGCCUUUAGGAGGGGGACAACAGAGGGAAACUUCUGCUAAUACCCCAUAUGAGCGUAGCUGAAAUGCUAUUCUUGAAAACUCCGGUGCCUAAAGAUGAGCCUGCAUCUGAUUAGCUAGUUGGUAGUGUAAUGGACUACCAAGGCGACGAUCAGUAGCUGGUUUUAGAGGAUGAUCAGCCACAAUGGGACUGAGACACGGCCCAUACUCCUACGGGAGGCAGCAGUAGGGAAUUUUGCGCAAGGGGCGAAAGCCUGACGCAGCAACGCCGCGUGAACGAUUAAGCCCUUCGGGGUGUAAAGUUCUGUCAGUGGGGACGAAACUUGACGGUACCCACAGAGGAAGCACCGGCUAACUCCGUG